rnacentral:rRNA from 1 species
UACGUAGGGUGCAAGCGUUGUCCGGAAUUAUUGGGCGUAAAGAGCUCGUAGGCGGUCUGUCGCGUCGGCUGUGAAAUCCCGAGGCUCAACCUCGGGUCUGCAGUCGAUACGGGCAAACUAGAGUAUUGCAGGGGAGACUGGAAUUCCUGGUGUAGCGGUGAAAUGCGCAGAUAUCAGGAGGAACACCGGUGGCGAAGGCGGGUCUCUGGGCCGUAACUGACGCUGAGGAGCGAAAGCGUGGGGAGCAAACAGG